UGUAAUUGGAAUGAUGGGAAUUUAAACCUCUUCCAGAGUAUCAAUUGGAGGGCAAGUCUGGUGCCAGCAGCCGCGGUAAUUCCAGCUCCAAUAGCGUAUAUUAAAAUUGUUGCAGUUAAAAAGCUCGUAGUUGAAUUUCUGCUGCAUUGCUUUUGCUCCUUUACGAGUCUUUGCAUUGUGGCUUAUUUCGGACUUUGUUUUACAAUGUCCGGAUGUUUACUUUGAGAAAAUUAGAGUGCUCAAAGCAGGCUUUCGCCUUGAAUAGUUUAGCAUGGAAUAAUAAAGUAGGACUUUGGUUCUAUUUUGUUGGUUUUAGGUACCAAAGUAAUGGUUAAUAGGAACAGUUGGGGGCAUUCGUAUUUAACUGUCAGAGGUGAAAUUCUUAGAUUUGUUAAAGACGAACUACUGCGAAAGCAUUUGCCAAGGAUGUUUUCAUUAAUCAAGAACGAAAGUUAGGGGAUCGAAGACGAUCAGAUACCGUCGUAGUCCUAACCAUAAACUA
rnacentral:rRNA from 1 species